UUUAUAAUGAAGGACGAAAAAAAGAAAGAAAAGUGAAAAUAAGUAUAUAAGAAACAAGAAAAGAAACAGAAAAUAUUAAUAUAUAAUAAAAGUGGAAAGAAACAACAAAUCAUUAUCUUUAUCUUCACCUACUAAUAAACCAGCGAGUGUGUCUGGUCGUAUGUCGUCGCCAGUUUUAUAAAAACGUCCCUGCAGUUUUUGAUAUUCAACCCGCAGUACGUUUUUAAGUGGAUAUAACUGAGAAAACGUUUCGUGUUUACAAAAAGGACCCUGCAUUUUGAGUAUUCAACCCGCGCCCCCCUUGGAAAAAAGCCUACCCGCACGACCCACACGACCCCAAUCCCGUCUCCACCACGAGCGCGCCGCCACCCCUGCCACACCGUCGCGCGCCGCCGGACUGCCCCUCGCCGUCGCGCGCCGCCGGACUCCCCCUCGCCGUCGCGCGCCGACGGACUCCCCCUCGCCGGCGCGCCGCCGGAAUCCACCUCGCCGUCGCGCCGCCGGAACUCGCCUUCACGCCACCGGAACCCAUCCCGCCGUCGCGCCGCCGGAACCCACCCUGCCGUCGCGCAACGGCGUCCCCGGGGCACGAGCGAGUACAGAGGGGGCCGGGACCAGAGGCGGGAUGCGAAAGCUGGAGCGUCGUGCGACACCUUGCGGCGGUCGUGGCCCUCACCGUCGCCUUCCCUCCUCUGUGGCCUGCCUGUGUCGUGGUCGUCGGGACUACUUGCCGUGGACGCGGUGGUUGACAUCUACGGCUAGCCGUGGAUUAGCACCUCGCUGCCUCCACAAAGUAUGGAUGCACCAUCUUCUGCUGCGGAGCGUGUGCUACUCCAGAGUAAUUUGCAAUGUUGUGGCAUAUAUGCUCGGUGGAAGAAGCUUCUGAUUUUGAUUUACAGGUGAUGCUGACAGGUCAAAGCUGUUUUGUUGGCUGCUGGCUUCAUGUGCUGUUAUAGUUCGCUACGGACAGUACAUAAGUUCCCUACAGCUACAAGUUUGGUGUACCAUAAUGUGUCAUGUAUUCAAUUUUGAGGUUUGGUAUUGAUUCAUUGAUCCCCUUUCCUAGGAUUCAUUAUUGGAAAUUGAUCUUGGGCUAUGGAACUAAGAUGAUCUACUCAAUAAGUUUUCUUACCACUAUAUCUUUUUUGUGUACUAAAUCACUGAUUAAUUACUACACUUAGCAAGAAACAAAGCUAGCGUUCGAGGGUGUGGAGGAGGUGAAACACAUGGGUCACCAUCACCCUUUCCCUCUAGAUCUGGUGCGUGUACUUUAACCUGGAUAUUCAGAGACGUCUUGAAAGGAAAACAAUUUGGACAUUAGUUGUAUAUUUGAUGAAGCUAUCUAAUUUGGACUUGAAAUUACACUGUAAAAUUUCCUUUCAACUGCUAAUUCAAUUUACAAAUUUUUGAACUUUACUUCUGCCACCAUAUGCUCCCAGUCAUCCCCGCCGCAUGUACGUCGCUGGUUCAUCCCGAUGCUUGUCAUCCUCAUCGUAACUGCCGUAGUUUGGCACCAGGCUACCUACCGGCGACGUUGCCCCGCAUCCCGUUGCCAGCUACUGCUCCUUACGGGUCCGCGAGUACCCGCAUGAUUGGAUGCCUUACAGGCACGCACGCUCCUUCCUGAUCUGAUUUGUUCUCAUGGGAAAUCACUUCCUCGCCAAUUCCUCAAAGUUCGCAAACAGUUUUUAUUUCAUGGAUUUAUUUUUGGGAACUCCUAAUGUUUUGCAUUGUUUUACAGGGACCAAUAGUUGGAUGGAAAAAAAUAGAGAUUGGCGAUGAAGAGUGAGAGCAGAGAGAUGAGAUAUAAAGAGAUCAGAGAGAGAGGCAUUGACUGCUGCACAUUUAGAUAGAUGCAUGGUGCUUCUUGUAUGAUGUAUGCUGUUACUAAUUGAUGCACAUUUAGAUAGAGAACAUACAUGUAGCUUUGCUACUGAUUGCUGCUGUUAUUGCUACAGCCUCAUCAAUCAAUAGUACCUAAUUUAUAUCCAGAUAAUUUGCAUAGGUCAUGAAGGGAAAAAGACGUCACUGAGCCGUUUGUUUCUAAUUGCAAGGUUAAAUAAUUUUGUGUGUUCUAACUCUAUGGGACAAUCUGAAGUUAUUUGGCUCAACGUCGUGCGACGAGUUUCCGACUUCACCGUGCCUGUACACCAUUGACUUCACUGGAAAUCUGUCUGCACGUACUUCAUCGUCCGCCGGAACUUUGUCUGACCUGAGGUACGUACUACAGUCUCAUGAAUUUGAAUGUGUCAUCAACUAUUACUUAUUAGUUCUGUAUAUGUUCUUUAGUAUAUUGUAAGCUCUGAACAAGACAAUGCCUAAAAGGGUCAGACAUUGCUUUUCCGUGCCAUUCAGUUUCUUCAGUUGAGUUGGCUACUUAAAUUUCCACCAUGUUAAUUCUUUCGUUUGCGAUUUCUCAUUGGUGUUCAUGUAAUUACCCUGCAGCCUUUCUUAGUAGUGCCUAACAUCUGAUUGUUGUGCUUACAUAGAACUGGAACUUUUCUGGAUUUUGUAAGGCUUCAGAUAACAACCCGGCAGGGGGAUUCAAUACCAAGAUUUAUGAUUUGGCAUAAGUGAGAUGACAUAUAGAUAGGGAGAUAGCCUUCCGUGUCGCCGGAGGCCACUGUAGGCUGCACUGAAGGGCACACAGCAGGUAGACGGAUGCGGCGAUCCUGGAUGUGCUUUGCUGCUGUCAUUUUUUAUCAAGGACGCCACUGUCCAAGUCGUUCUUCUGCCUUGGAAGCUUUAGAAUGCUGGCAGCUGAUGGGGAUUAUAAGAACUUAAAUGCCAGAGAAGUCGUGCUCCCCUUUCCGACGACGACUCAGACUUGAAGUCCCUUAUGUGCUCGAUACAAACGCCUCCCUUUUUUGUACUUAGAAUGACUGGUGUCUGACACAAACCACUAUUAUAGUCAAGAGUCAAGACCAUCGUUGUGCAAUGCUCUGGGUCUUGCCGGACAGGAACCGCGCUCCGCGACAGGCGAAACCUAAUUCAUGGCCUCACGCUCCCCGAGGCUACCACACCUUGCCGGCGUGCGGUCUGUCAUGGUGGCAGUGGAUGGGCUCUGGGCGGUCAUCAUGGCGGAGAUGAGGCGGAUCUUACGCAAUGUCGUAUGUGUUGUCAUGGCGUUGUACGUGAUGCGAUCCCGUUGCAACGCACGGGCAAUUCUCCUAGUAGAAUUAAAAAACACAGGGGAAAAAGGUA